AAUGCGGAAGAAUGGGGCCGAAAUAGUUUACCCCUAUUUCGAAUAGUAAUCUCAGUGAUUGUCAGUGCAAAUCAAGGUGACAGUGGCUGCAUGACUAAGAAAAGAAAGAGAGAGACAGGUGACAUUUACCUCAGUCCGGCGAGGUAUCUGACAGCUUUUCUAGCGGAGAAUCGAGGAAAGAAUGCGAAAAUCAAACUCGGAAUUGGUGGCUAAUCCUCGGGCAUUCAACAAUGGAGUUUGUAGGAGGAGGUGGAGGACCUUUAAUAGAUGAGAUCCUAGAGUUUUAGAUAAUCUUGGAUUGCCUUAGGAGUCCCGAAUUCCGGCGAGAUCGGGG
rnacentral:lncRNA from 1 species